AUUGAACGCUGGCGGCAGGCCUAACACAUGCAAGUCGAACGAGUGGCGGACGGGAGAGUAAUGUCUGGGAAACGGCCUGAUGGAGGGGGAUAAGUACUGGAAACGGUAGCUAAUACCGCCUAGCAGCAGAUGUGCCCAGAUGGGAUUAGAUAGUUGGUGGGGUAACGGCACACCAAGGCGACGAUCCCUAGCUGGUCUGAGAGGAUGACCAUCCACACUGGAACUGAGACACGGUCCAGACUCCUACGGGAGGCAGCAGUGGGGAAUAUUGCACAAUGGGCGCAAGCCUGAUGCAGCCAUGCCGCGUGUAUGAAGAAGGCCUUCGGGUUGUAAAGUACUUUCAGCGGGGAGGCGUUACCCGCAGAAGAAGCACCGGCUAACUCCGUGCCAGCCGCCGCGGUAAUUC
rnacentral:rRNA from 1 species